ensembl:lncRNA
CGUAUGCGCACAUGGACAAACGUUUUUGUUAUUUUUGGGUGUACAAGAAUAGUGUGUGUAUGCGUUAAUGAGUUUCAGUACCACACCUCUGGGCUGGUAAACCCCCUUGGCAUUUAAGAUUAUGAGGCUUAUUAAAUGUCUAAGUAGGGGGAGGCAUUUACAUUACCCUCUCUCUCCUCCCUCUCACCCAGUUCAGAUGGGUUCGCCAUGAUAUCACCCAUUGAAUCGCGACGGAGUAAACUACACAUGAUGGUUCAGAAAGAAGAGGAGGACAUACAGAGAAGCUAGGUGGUGCUGUGAGGCCAGGGAGAGGCACCUGGUGGAGUUAAGCCAAGCUAAACUGCAGAAACAGCUGAGAAAAGAGGAGAAGGACCGGCAACGGAGACAGGCAGAGGAAAAGGAGUAUGAGAGGAUGAAGGCUAAACAGCAGGAGAACACAACCCGGUCCUAGGUCGUGACUCAGAGUUCCAGUCUGAGAGACAGGAGGAGAGGUGUAGAUGAAGUAAUCCAUCAGGACAACGUCAGAGGACAGAGCAGCUCCUUCAGAGGGUGGAGAGGUCAGACGCAGCUCCAGUGGCAUCGACUAGUGCCUCACACACAUCACCCUUGCUGUUUCUCCAUCUCUCUAUCACCCCCCUAUUUUCAUAAUUUGAUGGUUAGAGGAAGGGAGCUAGUGGGCUGAGAGGCUCACAGAGUUCAAGGGACUUCCCAGAGUUCACAGAAAGUACAUAGAGAUGGAUAGAGACAGAAAGAGAGAGAGAGCGAGAUGAAGAGAGAGAGGAGAGAGCAGGAGUCUGCAGACAGACCAAGGGUGGAAUAACCUGCAUAGUUCCUGUGAAAGUACCUGGAAGGAAGCCAGGCUGUCAGCCAAUGAGAGAUGAGGAUGCAGGAAGACCUGCCAAUCACAGAGAGGUGUUGUGUCGUGGUGAUGCUGCAGACAGAGGAGAGCCGAAAAGAAGGGCCCCAGGGCAGGGUUUGAGUAUGUGUUGUUAGGGAGGGGUUUCAUACUGUACCGACCGACAACGGUAUUAUGUGGCAACCAGUGGUGUAAAGUACUUUAGUAAAAAUACUUGAAAGUACUACUUAAGUAGGUUUUCGGGGUAUCUGUACUUUACUCUACUAUUUAUAUAUUUUACAAGUUUUACUUCACUACAUUCCUAAAGAAAAUCAUCUACUUUUUACGUCAUACAUUUUCCCUGACACCCAAAAGUACUCGUUACAUUUGGAAUGCUUAGCAGGACAGGAAAAUGGUAUAAUUCACACACUUAUCAAGAGAACAUCCCUGGUUAUCUCUACUGCCCCUGUUCUGGCGGACUCACUAAACACAUGCUUCAUUUGUAAAUGAUGUCUGAAUGUUGGAGUGUGCCCCUGGC